UAAUGGAUAUAUGGUACCAGCAAUGCACA
rnacentral:piRNA from 1 species